CAUUUUGGCACCAUUGGAGUGAAAUUAUAUGCAGAACCAGAACCUGCAAAAGCAAAAACAGGUGAGGAGGCAACGGCAGCGCGAUGAUGAGAGUGAUGAUGACAUGGACACAGAAUUCUCUCAAAGC